rnacentral:rRNA from 1 species
AUUUAUGACCACACUACCCUGAAUAAGCCUGAUCUUUUCUGAUUCCAAGCAGGGUCAGCCUAGUAAGUGUCUCAGUGAGAGAAUAGUCAGUUCAGCUUAGAUU